UGAGAGUGCUGCUGUGAGACCAUGUUCACAGCACCACCCCUUCCCUACCAACCACUCUAACAAAGAAGAGAAUAAAUUAGUGCAGAAGAGCAGAAAAGAAGAUCUAAGGGAAUGCUCCUAUGCUCCCUAGAGUUGGUCUAUUUGACUCCCUCCAAUUUGGGUUCAGUGAAUAAAAUAAGGCACAUCCUCCACAUCUUCUGUUUGGCAUGAGCCAAUGGUGCUGGCUCUGUUGUACAUCUGUCAGAAAGGUAGGCUUGCCCCACAGUAAUCCUAUGUGUUUUUUCUCAGAAGUCCCACUAAGUUCAGUGGGUUGUAUCUGACUUAUCCUCAUAGUAGACCCACCGAAAUUGAAGGAGAAGUUAAUCUGUCCAACUUAAGUCCAUUGAUUUUAAUGGGUCUGCAUAUCAAUGAUGUCAGUGAGUCUGUGUUCAAUGAGUAUGACUUAGGUGGAUACAACCCACAAGGUCUUACACCCUAGUAAACAGGUUCAUUUUCUGCACUGUUGAUAGCUAUCAUUUAUUUGUUUACCAUGCAUAUUUGUGUUAUAAAAGGGAUAUUUCUCAAGGGUCCAUCAGUUGCUUACCACCUCUUACCUCAAACUGAAAAGGUAUGUUUUACAGCAGAAAGAAAUUCUGAGGUGAUCAUUCUGUCUCUCACCAGUAACCUGUUAAGGAAGGUGACAUGUAAACCAAAAAGUGCAGCGAAGUACAUAAGCACCAAUCUUCCUGAAACUGAUAGUGGAAGUUCUUCAAGAGAAGCUGAUAUGACUGAAGUAAGUGGCUGAACCCACUCAUGGAACAAUGCCUGAAUGAAUGGGGUGCACUGGCCCAACUCUUAUACCAAGGGGGUUGACACAGGAACUCCUGCAACUGUGGGGACUACAGGGUUGUGUGCAGGAUAGGCCCCUUCUCAUAGUUGCGGAACAUGUGACCAGUGGGGUAGGCGGCUGGUGGGUGCUGGCCUGCACCGGUCCCCCUCAUGUAUGCUUUUAAGGUGUGAGGGGCUUAAUCUGAACCUUCCAGAGAGACGAGAGAUUUAGAAUUCAUUCACAUUUGGCAGAAUAUUCUUCAAAGACAACUUUCAUAGUCUAAGAUGCAGCACUAACUAACAAGAUGCUCCCUACAAGUGCAUCCUGAGAAGCUGGAUGUAAUAAGAGCCAAGUGCUUAUUAUGCUAGUACUUAAUUGUUGUUGAGAUUUAACACUGUAAAUGCACCCUGAAAUUAGCACAAAUUGCAGCAAAGAAAAGAGCCAGAAAUAUGUGAUGAUGCAUUGUUUUAGUGAGUAAGCCCAUGCAUGUUAAGGUUAACUACUAAAUUCUAGUAAUUUUCUUCAUUGUCACCUUGAUUUAAAUAUUUUCUUCAGUACAUCACGGAGAAAAAUGAUAUUGCCCAUUUUAGGGAGGUCUACAUUUAAGGUUCUUAUCGUCAAUCUGUACAACAAGUUGCUUAACUCCAUUUUCUUCUAAUGGUGGAGAACUUUGAAACAAUCCAAAAGCAAGUGGAUUUGUGUUAUUUUUCAAAUUCCUUUCUUGUCUUCAAAAACUGAAUGUUUUGGGGAGUGGGGGCAUUUUGCACAGUAAGCAAAACAAAAAAAAAACAGCUGCCUGAAUUACUUUUUAAAAUGGGGUGUUGGGGUUGGGGUAGAAGGCACUUUUGUUCCCGUUAGAAACAUGUUGAAUUAUGUCAAUUUCAUUGUGUGAAAUGCUUGUGGCCAGUCCUGUACAGAAGCACAGUCUUUGGAGUUAACAUGUGGUCAUGCUUCUGGUGACAGUUUCCAUGUUUACAAAAGCAAGUGACUGUUUAGCACGUGUUCAGUGCUGCCCUUUGGACUUUCCAUGUGUUCAAUAAAAUAUAUUCAGAUA